CUGAUUGUAGCACAGUCGAAAGAGUGAAGGACUGUAAUUUAAAAGUAAUCCUUAGGUCCCUGGUUUGAUCCUAGGCAAUUAGA